UGGGGGAUAUUGCGCAAUGGGCGAAAGCCUGACGCAGCGACGCCGCGUGGGUGAUGAAGGCCUUCGGGUCGUAAAGCCCUGUCGAGGGGGAAGAAUCGGUUGCGACCUAACACGUCGUGAUCCUGACGGUACCCCUAAAGGAAGCACCGGCUAACUCCGUGCCAGCAGCCGCGGUAAUACGGAGGGUGCGAGCGUUGUUCGGAAUCACUGGGCGUAAAGCGCGUGUAGGCGGCCCAUUAAGUCUGAUGUGAAAGCCCGGGGCUCACCCCCGGAAGUGCAUUGGAAACUGAUGGACUCGAGUCCCGGAGAGGAGAGUGGAAUUCCUGGUGUAGCGGUGAAAUGCGUAGAUAUCAGGAGGAACACCGGUGGCGAAGGCGGCUCUCUGGACGGUGACUGACGCUGAGACGCGAAAGCGUGGGGAGCAAACAG
rnacentral:rRNA from 1 species